rnacentral:rRNA from 1 species
AACGCGAAGAACCUUACCCAGGCUCGAAAUGUAGGUGGCGAUACCAGAGAUGGUAUUUUCCGUAAGGACGCCUACAUAGGUGCUGCAUGGCUGUCGUCAGCUCGUGCCGUGAGGUGUUGGGUUAAGUCCCGCAACGAGCGCAACCCUUAUCAUUAGUUGCCAACACGCAAGGUGGGGACUCUAAUGAGACUGCCUAGGUUAACUAGGAGGAAGGUGAGGAUGACGUCAAGUCCGCAUGGCCUUUAUGUCUGGGGCUACACAUGUGCUACAAUGGUCGGUACAGAAGGCAGCAAGACCGCAAGGUGGAGCAAAUCCGUAAAACCGAUCUCAGUUCAGAUUGUAGUCUGCAACUCGACUACAUGAAGCUGGAAUUGCUAGUAAUGACGUGUCAGCAACAACGUCGUGAAUACGUUCCCGGGCCUUGUA